GACGAACCGUGCGAACGUUGUUCGGAAUCACUGGGCUUAAAGGGCGCGUAGGCGGGUGGCCAAGUCAGGGGUGAAAUCCUGGAGCUCAACUCCAGAACUGCCUUUGAUACUGAAGAUCUUGAGUUCGGGAGAGGUGAGUGGAACUGCGAGUGUAGAGGUGAAAAUUCGUAGAUAUUCGCAAGAACACCAGUGGCGAAGGCGGCUCACUGGCCCGAUACCUGACGCUGAGGCACGAAAGCGUGGGGAGCAAACAGGG
rnacentral:rRNA from 1 species